UACGGCCAAAUCGCAUUGAAACAGCGGUUCCCGUGAGAUCACUCAAGUUAAGCAACGUCAAGCUCGGUCAGUACCUCGGUGUGAGACAGCUUGAGAAUACCAGUUGCUGUAAU